rnacentral:RNase_P_RNA from 1 species
CGGGGCUGGCCGACCCGUCGCUGUGCCUUGCGGCGUUGAGAGAUCCGCGCCCGAAGGCAUAGAGCAAAGUCCGGACUCGUAGAAGAGGCCGCCCGGGCUAAAAACCCGGGGGACGGCGCAAGCCCGUAAGGGUAAGUUCGCCGUCACGUCAAGUGCAGCAGAGAGUAGACCAGCCGAUGGCCGGAAGGUUAACCCUUUUCCGGCACAGGUGAUGGGUGAAACGGUGGGGUAAGAGCCCACCGGCGGCAUCCCGCGAGGGACCGGCCAGGUAAACGACCGGUGCGAGCAAGCCAAAUCGCCCCGCGGGACCCGCGAGGUCCGGGGGCUGGUAGGUGCGGCUCUCCGCAGGGAGAGCCCCGAGGACUUCCUCGGGAGAUGGAUGACGGGAUAGAGCAGGAUCCGGCUUACAGGCGGCCCCGGACC